rnacentral:lncRNA from 1 species
ACAUAACUCGUUGCGGGCUCCGCGCGGUCCCACUUCCCGGCUCCCUUCGCCUCCAGGAUGCGCUGAGCCCUACAACACCCCCAGCGGCCGCCGGCUCCCCCACGAGUGAACCAGAUGCUGCCCCCCUGCGGUUCCAGUGUAUGUCAGUGCCAGCCACGUGCCCAGGACCCACCGUUCCCAGGGAUACAAGAUCCCGUGGCCCAUGGUGGCAGCUGCGGCACACAGCGCUGCUUUCCAGAGCUCUCAGUGCGGACAACAGAGGCCUUGCAUUCAGUCACCUGGAAAACCCACCAUCCACAUUGGAAACCCAGUCUCUCCGGAAUGAGAAAUUUGGUGUGAAUGACAGAGGUGGUGCCAUCCAGCGCGCUCAGCGAGGUCAGCCUGCGCCUCCUCUGCCACGAUGACAUAGACACUGUGAAGCACCUGUGUGGCGACUGGUUCCCCAUCGAGUACCCAGACUCAUGGUAUCGUGAUAUCACAUCCAACAAGAAGUUCUUUUCCCUUGCUGCAACCUACAGAGGUGCCAUUGUGGGAAUGAUAGUAGCUGAAAUUAAGAACAGGACCAAAAUA